AGAGUUUGAUCAUGGCUCAGAUUGAACGCUGGCGGCAGGCCUAACACAUGCAAGUCGAGCGGUAGAGGGAAGCUUGCUUCUCUUGAGAGCGGCGGACGGGUGAGUAAUGCCUAGGAAUCUGCCUGGUAGUGGGGGAUAACGUUCGGAAACGGACGCUAAUACCGCAUACGUCCUACGGGAGAAAGCAGGGGACCUUCGGGCCUUGCGCUAUCAGAUGAGCCUAGGUCGGAUUAGCUAGUUGGUGAGGUAAUGGCUCACCAAGGCAACGAUCCGUAACUGGUCGAGAGAGGAUGAUCAGUCACACCUGGAACUGAGACACGGUCCANACUCCUACNGNAGGCACCNGUGNGGAAUAUUGGACNAUG
rnacentral:rRNA from 1 species